rnacentral:tRNA from 1 species
GGGAAUGUGGCUUAGUGGUAGAGUGCUUGCCUAGCAUGCAUAAAGUCCUGGGUUCAAUUCCCCAGUACCA